rnacentral:rRNA from 1 species
AGAACGAACGCUGGCGGCGUGUUUAAGACAUGCAAGUCGCACGGAACCAAAUUGGUAGUAAUACUCGUUUGGUUCAGUGGCGCACGGGUGAGUAACACGUGAAUUACAUGCCCUUCAGUGGUGAAUAGCCCAGGGAAACUUGGAUUAAUACCCCAUGGUAUCGCAAGAUUAAAGGUGGCCAGCAAUGGCUGUCGCUGAAGGAUUGGUUCGCGCCCUAUCAGCUUGUGGUGAGGUAACGGCUACACCAAGGCUACGACGGGUACCUGGCCUGAGACUGACGAUCGAGGCACACUGGAACUGAGACACGGUCAGACACGUACGGGUGCAGCAGUCGAAGAAUAAUUC